rnacentral:rRNA from 1 species
GACAGAGGCCUCGAGCGUUAGGCGGAAUCAUUGGGCGUAAAGCGCGUGUAGGCGGUCCGGUAAGUCCGCUGUGAAAGUCGGGGGCUCAACCCUCGGAUGCCGGUGGAUACUGUCGGGCUUGAGUACGGAAGAGGCGAGUGGAAUUCCUGGUGUAGCGGUGAAAUGCGCAGAUAUCAGGAGGAACACCAAUUGCGAAGGCAGCUCGCUGGGACGUUACUGACGCUGAGACGCGAAAGCGUGGGGAGCAAACAGG